AAGGAUUUUAUGUCGAAAUGGUGGGGCCAUGUGUAGUAAAUCGUUCUGCUUCUCUUCCAAUUUGCAACAUCUGCACAUUUUUGUUUAAUCUUGCACGAUAAUGUCUCCUGCAUGACAUUUAAAGACAAUGAUUGUGAGACGUAUACUGUCAUGUUUGCAUAGAAUAUUUUUUUCCGUUUGUGACAAUUCGUGUUAGAUAUUUAGGGCCAUGUGUACGAUUGAACUUUUUUAAAUUCCAGUCGCGUCUAUCAUGCAUGUUCUCGUCGUGCUACAUUGAUUCUCAUUGUGAAAAAAAAUCCUAGGGCCAUGGGUACAAAACUUGCAUCGCCGGUUUGUAGAGAUUUCUGUCAAACCCGACAUUUUUUGGCGUUAUCUUCUGUCAUUAUAUGACAGAUAAUUUACAGGAUUCCAGGGCCAUGUGAACAUGACUUACUUUGUUUUUUGUAAAAAAUCUCUCUAAUUUAUUAUGCAAGAAUUAUUUUAGGGCCAUGUGGUGCAGUGUAGAGAUCUUAUAUUCCUCCGUGCUGUAUAAAUUCUUCCGAUAGCCAGACGUGUAUUUUCUUGAAAACUGCUUGUGCAUUCAUAUCAUCCCGUCUUGAGUGCGAAUCAUUGUGUAAAUUACUCUAGGGACAUGUGUUAAGUAUCAAUAGCUAUUUUGAAGCCGUGAAAACCUGAAAUGGUGGAUCUAAGUUUUCUUGUAUAUGACUGUAUUCAUCAUCUGAUGUUGUAACUUGACCGUGGAUCAUGACGUGACAUACUCUAUUAGGGCCAUGAUUAAAAUCUACUUAUUUUGUCCGUGUGACGCUAAAAAGUUUUUUUGGGGGAGAUUUAUUGUUUAAUAAAAAUGCUCUACAUGCCAUGUGCAGAUCUCACAGAUUCCUUGCAACAUGUGACGGUCGUGAAAUGUAAUCAGAAUGAUGGUUUCAACGAUUCCACGAUUAUUUUGCGACUUGAAAUAGUCUCUGAUCCUUGUCGAAAUGUGUCUUAUGGACAUAGAUUAUUGUUUGUGAUUUGUUCUAUAAUAUUCGAUUCGUAAAGAUCGAUAAUUGCCUUUAGUAUUAGGGCCAUUGUGUGAAGUUUGUGAAUUGUACAGGUGUAAUGACACCUGUUACGUCGGAUACCUUAAUUGUAAUACACCUCUGUAAGGUGUAUAGCUUGAAUGUACAGGGUGAAACGAUGUGCAUCGAUUGAUUUUUUUUUUAAACAACCGCAACACCAUUGGAGGUUUUGAUCGAUGGUACAUGUACUUUUCAAUUCUGAUAAGUCUGAUCACAAGUGGUCAGCAAUGUGAAUGUUGUUUCCCUUUCAUGCGCGCUGCUUUGUACUGGAAUUAUCAUCUUCGCGGCCAGUUGGUACGCCAAUUAUCUAUUUAGAAUAAGCUAAGCUUUCUUUCUAAACGGAUGAAUCCAUUACAGUGGUCAGCCUCAGAUAAGGGCCACUAAUUGGAUUAUCUUCACUGUCGUUAAUGUAAGAUACUUUGCACCCAGUUAGGCCUAGAUAUCUCAUAUAGCGUAGACCUAAACUAAGUUUCGCUUUCAAGUUCUGUGAUUGUAUCUUUAUAGUGGUCAGGUACUAGGACCAUUAAUAUACGUUUUCCUUCUCUUUAUACCACAGCACCGUACCGGUCACAAAUUUGAUCAGGAAACCACUGUUCAUUGUAGUAACAUAACCUAGCUCCGCUAGGAAGACUUCCUUUAUUUUCAGCAACUUGCAAUUAGAUUAGGAGGACCGGCAAGCCAGAGUGCUCAUGUCAGGAGCUGAUGACACGGAGGAACCGGAAGCAGGGAGGAGGAACACCGGAUGGCUGGACGACCCUGCUUGCCGGGCAUCCCAUUACUGAUAUCCCAGAGUCGACGGUAUGCAAGAUGAGAUAUCAGUCUGGACGAAGAUAAGAUCACUUCUGAAUCCCAAGGAACCGGAAACAGGGAGGAGGACCGACGGAAGGACUGAAGACCUGCUUGCAGAGCAAGUCUUCACCAAUUCUUGAGAUUCCCCUUGCUUCGUAUAAGCAGCAGAGACGAUGA